AGAAGUGAAUCUCCAGGAGAAGCUACCGCUCCCCUUCCCAUCCGACCCCUGGCCCCAAACAAAGGAAACCGGAAGUGGAGAGGGUGGAGUUGGCCAGAUCCGCCAUCAGGCUUUUCAGACCUUCUGGACUUCCUGGCCACCAGGAGGCCCUUCCAGGUACCUCUCACCAUCACCCUGGAGAAUAGGGGAUCCACAGUGGCCGAAACGUGAGGCUAAUAUCUGAGAUCCAACUUGUGCCAGAUUCUUAAGGAUCCUUUAUCCAUCCCUAGGACUCUGAUAUCCCGGAAGACUAUUGAUCAGUUAUUUUGCUGAAUGUCUCCCAAUUUGGGCCAUUUUGCUAUUCUCAGGCUUCUGCUUCGGACAGCAAGAAGGUA